rnacentral:rRNA from 1 species
GUGGGGAAUAUUGGACAAUGGGCGAAAGCCUGAUCCAGCCAUGCCGCGCGAGUGAUGAAGGCCUUAGGGUUGUAAAGCUCUUUCAGUAGGGAAGAUAAUGACGGUACCUACAGAAGAAGCCCCGGCUAACUUCGUGCCAGCAGCCGCGGUAAUACGAAGGGGGCUAGCGUUGUUCGGAUUUACUGGGCGUAAAGCGCACGUAGGCGGAUUGGUCAGUUAGAGGUGAAAUCCUGGAGCUCAACUCCAGAACUGCCUUUAAUACUGCCAGUCUAGAGUCCAGAAGAGGUGAGUGGAACUCCUAGUGUAGAGGUGGAAUUCGUAGAUAUUAGGAAGAACACCAGUGGCGAAGGCGGCUCACUGGUCUGGUACUGACGCUGAGGUGCGAAAGCGUGGGGAGCAAACAGGAUUAGAUACCCCGGUAGUCC